rnacentral:rRNA from 1 species
GACGAACGCUGGCGGCGUGCUUAACACAUGCAAGUCGAACGGAAAGGCCCUGCUUUUGUGGGGUGCUCGAGUGGCGAACGGGUGAGUAACACGUGAGUAACCUGCCCUUGACUUUGGGAUAACUUCAGGAAACUGGGGCUAAUACCGGAUAGGAGCUCCUGCUGCAGGGUGGGGGUUGGAAAGUUUCGGCGGUUGGGGAUGGACUCGCGGCUUAUCAGCUUGUUGGUGGGGUAGUGGCUUACCAAGGCUUUGACGGGUAGCCGGCCUGAGAGGGUGACCGGCCACAUUGGGACUGAGAUACGGCCCAGACUCCUACGGGAGGCAGCAGUGGGGAAUAUUGCACAAUGGGCCGAAGCCUGAUGCAGCAAUGCCGCGUGCGGGAUGACGGCCUUCGGGUUGUAAACCGCUUUCGCCUGUGACGAAGCGUGAGUGACGGUAAUGGGUAAAGAAGCACCGGCUAACUACGUG